CUACAAAAUCAAAGUUAUUUCACAUUCGUGACUGCUUCGCGACACUUUUACAAAAUUCCAGAUUUCAUUUUUGUUUUAGUAAAGUGAUUUUAAAUAAAAGUAAAAGUAAACAUGAAGAUUGGCCACAUUACUGCGUAUCUAAUGGUUACAAUAAUAUCAACAUUUAUCGCAAUGGUGAUCACUGAACCAAGUCUUAUGGAUGUUGGUCAAUGUCCUGUUGGUAGAAUAAAAGAUCCCGUUACUGGAACGUGCCGCGAACUGGUAGAUUAAAAACAGGUAUACGUACUGAUGGCAAUGCGAUUGCAUUUGGUAUUCAAGUAAUGACGAAUAUUAUAAAUAAUUUUAUGCAUAUAAAGAUUAUAAAUGUAUACAAUCAGAAGUGACAAUGUAUACAAUCAGAAAUGACAAUACAUGUAUUUGAUGCAAUUAUA